GACGAACGCUGGCGGCGUGCCUAAUACAUGCAAGUAGAACGCACAGGAUGCACCGUAGUUUACUACACCGUAUUCUGUGAGUUGCGAACGGGUGAGUAACGCGUAGGUAACCUGCCUGGUAGCGGGGGAUAACUAUUGGAAACGAUAGCUAAUACCGCAUAAGAACAUUUACUGCAUGGUAGAUGUUUAAAAGGUGCAAAAGCAUCACUACCAGAUGGACCUGCGUUGUAUUAGCUAGUUGGUGAGGUAACGGCUCACCAAGGCAACGAUACAUAGCCGACCUGAGAGGGUGAUCGGCCACACUGGGACUGAGACACGGCCCAGACUCCUACGGGAGGCAGCAGUAGGGAAUCUUCGGCAAUGGGGGGAACCCUGACCGAGCAACGCCGCGUGAGUGAAGAAGGUUUUCGGAUCGUAAAGCUCUGUUGUUAAGGAAGAACGUGUGUGAGAAUGGAAAGUUCAUGCUGU
rnacentral:rRNA from 1 species